UGCCACUGGGGAUGGGUGUCUUUCUGGAGAUCCCUUCUUUGUGGAGCUUUUCAUUAUAAGCCUAAACAUUUAGCUAUGGAUUUGCAGCAUCCUUUAUCAAUGCUCAAAUUCCCUCUAAACUAUUCUUAGGAUUCUCUUCAAGUCUGUCAUUGUAAAGGUGGAUUUCCAAACCUAGAGCUCCUGUCAGCUAUGGGGGAAAAAGGUGAAAGAGGCAGCAGAGGAGACCUCCCAGAGGAAAACAAAAUUCACUGUGCCUUGAUGUGGAUUCCUUAAUGCUGGAGACAGUAUUUCAGCUACCCUGCUGAUCAGGAGCCCAACUGGGACUUGAACUGAAGUCAUCAGAAGUCAAAAAGCUGGAACAAUAAAGAUGAUGAGAAGUACCACCAUCCCAGUAGCAUGGAAAAGGUUUGGGAAUCCCGGAGAAUGCAGAUCAUGUUCUUUCCUCACCACUGCACUUACGCUUAUAGUACAUUCCAAAGUCAUGGUCAGGUAAGUAGGGAUGGGGAAGUCAGAAUGUAUUUUAUCUUUUCUAUUAAAGAUCAGUGGUUGUAUUUCUCUUUAUGGCCAACCACUUUCAUCCUUAAAACAUCAAAUCUACAUUUACAUCCAGAGACAUUUGGUGAGCUUCUGGAGUUCUAGCUGUGAUGACAGAUACUUGGAAUAAUUUUGCCCAGAAUUUAGGAAUUAUUUGCCAGAUACUAACCAUUCAUUCCACUAAUGAAGGCAGAUGGAUACCUAAAGGCUAACCACUUUCUAGAAAAGAGUUGUCCCUUAGGAUAUGGUAGAUCAAAAUUCAGAAUAAAUUGUACUUCAGUAGAUUGAGAUAUUUAACUGGAUACUAGUAUAUUUACUAUUAUAGCUGAAAGAAAAGGUAAUAAAUACAGAAAGCAUUAGACCAAGAAGUUAGUUGUAUAAAUCAGAUCAAAAUCAACAGGCUACUUGGUGCUGCAAACUUAACCAUUAAAGACAGAGGUUUCCAUUUAAUUUUUAUCUCAAAAACUGAGUUUAAAUAUCUCUCAAGAUAGAUCAUUUGGAAAAUGAUGCAAAAUUGACUGGUAAGUUAGUUAAAAUCUGCAGAUUAUUUCCACCUCUUUGCAGACUGAUCAUAUUUUUAUAGUGAAAAUCUGGGGUGUUGUGUUCAGGGGUUCUCAGGGAAACAUUCUGGCACUGGGAAAAGGAAGCUGCCCAGGAAUUUAAAGAAAAAAAAAGGCCACUCUUCAUCUCACUUUCACUGCUAAAAUAGAAAACUGGGACAGUUUGUAGUAAGGACAACUUGGGAUAAAUUUUCAUCACUGUAUCACCUCUUCUAUGUCUCCACUCCCAAUCUCAUUCAUUCACAUCUAGCUCAAGUCUUGCCCUCUUGUGUCAACACACAUGCAAACAAUGUCAGUUUUGACAACACAACUCAAACAUUCCUAACUCAGAAUCUCCGGUAAUUUUCCAGUCAUUAGCUUAAGGAUCUCUAACAGAACUUAAGCUCUCACUUCAGAAAUACAUCCCCAUUUCACAAUAUGAUUUUUUCUUCCUCUUUUUCCAUCAUUUUACUCUCAGGACCAACACUUCCAUCACUUGACACUUUGAUGCUCAGCCUACUGUUUUUCUCUGUCCUUUCCUAUAUCCCCUUCCAUGAUCAAAGCCUUUCCUUUGGCUUCUAAACUUAUUUUCCUUUAGUAUUAAGUUCAUAAGUCACCAUACCUCUACAUCUUACACAUGGACUUCCACUGUCCUUUACUUCCUCUUGCUGACUGAAAAGUCUGAACAUAUGGUUAUAAAGGCAAUAAUGAUUUUUCUGUACAGGGAAGUUACAGAUUUUAUCUUUCUCCCCAGCCCUCUACUAAACUGUUGUAAUAUGUUUCACAGAUUUCACAGAAUUGAUGAUUCUGAGAUUCACAGGAAGAACAUACACUUAAUUACCAAAUUUUAUAUAUUCUCGAGGAAAAGAUAGUAAGCAGUAACAAAACAGUUAUCUUCCAGGAAAACUGACUAGAGCAGUAAUAGCAUUGGAAUGCCAAUUUUUCUCCAGCUGUUACUUGGAAAAUGGAUUAGACAUGAGAAGAAAGUAACUGGCAGCCCACCACAGAAACACCAUCAAUUCAUAAGUGGUCGUAUACAACAAAUGCUCAAAAGUUAGAUUUUCAGGAAGAACACGAUAUUCAACAAAACUGCAGAAAACUUUGGUUGAUUCUAAGAACACAAACA
ensembl:lncRNA